CAAAGAAUAGUUUAUAAAAAUAAUAAUUUUGGAGAUUAUAGAUAAAGAUUUAUUUUUUUUUUUGA
rnacentral:tRNA from 1 species